GGAGUGAUGGCUCAGUGAGAUAAGAGCACUGACUGUUCUUCCAGAGGUCCUAAGUUCAAUUCCUAGCAACCACA
rnacentral:tRNA from 1 species